rnacentral:lncRNA from 1 species
AGCACGAUUCUUACAAUGAGAUCUAAAUGGGACCAUUGUUCACUUUCUUGAGUGUGAUAAAGAAGGAUGACUAACAUCCUGAGUUAGACACAGCAGGGAUCCAGCAAGGAGCCUCCCAGAUGGAGUACAUGGAGACCAUGACUGUGAAAGAUGAGGAUCAAGUGCAGAUUUGGUGGCCUCUGAUUGCCAGUAUCUGGCAGCCACAUUCUCUUCCCACAAGAUGUGCUGGAAAUAUGACCAAGCAGAAGUUCACUUAAGUGAAUCCAACAGUUAAACCUACCAUGGAAGGGUGUGGUGCACAGAGGGCAUGUGGAGAAGAGAAGACCACAGUGGGAACCUCCAAGGAACUAACAUCUAGCUGGGGAUGAGGGGGGAUUUGGCUAUGUAGAGAGUAAAUAAAGUGAUAUGAGAAUUAAAGUAAGGGGCCAGUUAUUUCCAAAUGGGGAAAUGGGGCAGGCUUCAUGGAGAAGGGAACGUUUAAUCUGGGUCACAUGGAAUGAAUAGGACUGGAAAUGGAGUUUAUAAGAGCGAGAAUAUUUUACUUAGAGGAAACUACAUUUAAAGAAAGGAUGGCUGUGUAGGUGUAUUGCUUCUUUGCAGAUACAUACAAUUUAAUAUGCCUGGAGUGCAGAUUCUAUGUGACUGAGGUGAGUAGGGACAAAGGGAGAGAUGAUUCAGAGAGGCAGAUAGAGGAAAAUCAUGCAGGGCUUAAUUUCUAGGAUAAAAGUUGGUGACUUUUUCAUGGGUGUGUGUGUCAGGGAAGAGGGUAAAAUUAUAGUGAGUAAAAGCA